UGGGCGCGGGGCGGGCGGUGGUGAGCAGGCUGAGGAGAAAGAACAUGGCGGGUGCGGCUGGGCCUGGGACCGGCUCGGGGGCAGCGGGCGGAGAUGGAGACGACUCGCUGUACCCGAUCGCGGUUUUAAUCGAUGAGCUCCGUAACGAGGACGUGCAGCUCCGCCUCAACAGCAUUAAGAAGUUAUCAACCAUUGCCCUGGCGCUUGGAGUAGAAAGGACGCGAACCGAGCUGCUGCCUUUCCUCACAGACACAAUUUAUGAUGAAGAUGAGGUGCUGUUAGCUCUUGCUGAGCAGCUGGGAAAUUUCACCGGCCUGGUGGGAGGACCUGACUUUGCCCACUGCUUGCUGACACCAUCUGGGAUUUGCCAUCUGGGACAUGAGAUCUUGGCUGUCCUACAGAAGUCGUGUCUUCAGCCUCCUUUGGAAAGUCUGGCAACGGUGGAAGAGACUGUGGUACGAGACAAGGCUGUGGAGUCCCUGAGGCAGAUCUCCCAGGAGCAUACUCCUCUUGCUCUGGAAGCUCAUUUUGUUCCUCUGGUGAAACGCCUAGCGAGUGGGGACUGGUUCACGUCUCGCACAUCUGCGUGUGGUUUGUUCAGCGUUUGCUAUCCCAGGGCUUCAAAUGCUGUCAAAGCAGAAAUUAGACAGCACUUCCGUUCCUUGUGCUCAGAUGAUACACCAAUGGUACGACGUGCUGCUGCUUCCAAAUUGGGCGAAUUUGCAAAAGUUUUAGAAUUAGAUAGUGUGAAAAGUGAAAUUGUUCCAUUGUUUACUAAUCUAGCUUCAGAUGAACAGGAUUCAGUGCGCCUCCUAGCUGUGGAAGCUUGUGUUAGUAUUGCCCAGUUACUGUCUCAGGAUGACCUUGAGGUUUUGGUGAUGCCUACACUUCGACAAGCUGCAGAAGAUAAAUCUUGGCGAGUUCGCUAUAUGGUAGCUGACAAAUUUUCAGAGCUCCAGAAAGCUGUGGGUCCCAAAAUCACCCAAAAUGACCUCAUUCCCGCCUUUCAGAACCUACUUAAAGACUGUGAAGCUGAAGUCCGAGCAGCUGCUGCCCACAAAGUGAAAGAACUUUGUGAGAACUUGCCCAGUGAAGGUAGAGAGACCAUAAUUAUGAAUCAAGUUCUGCCCUAUAUAAAGGAAUUAGUAUCUGAUACAAAUCAACAUGUCAAAUCGGCUCUAGCUUCCGUAAUUAUGGGAUUAUCUACUAUUUUGGGCAAAGACAAUACCAUUGAACAUCUUCUACCUCUUUUUUUAGCUCAGUUAAAGGAUGAGUGUCCUGAAGUUCGUUUGAAUAUCAUCUCCAAUUUGGAUUGUGUAAAUGAAGUGAUUGGAAUCCGUCAGCUCUCUCAGUCUCUUCUUCCUGCCAUCGUGGAACUGGCUGAAGAUGCCAAGUGGAGGGUCCGACUGGCCAUCAUUGAGUAUAUGCCUCUGCUGGCAGGCCAGCUGGGUGUGGAAUUCUUUGAUGAAAAGCUUAAUUCUUUAUGUAUGGCCUGGCUUGUGGACCAUGUAUAUGCCAUUCGCGAAGCUGCCACCAACAACCUCAUGAAACUAGUUCAGAAGUUUGGUACAGAGUGGGCCCAGAAUACCAUCGUUCCCAAAGUGUUAGUAAUGGCAAACGAUCCUAAUUAUUUGCAUAGAAUGACCACCUUAUUCUGCAUUAAUGUACUGUCUGAAGCCUGUGGUCAGGAAAUAACCACUAAGCAGAUGCUGCCCAUCGUAUUGAAAAUGGCAGGAGACCAAGUGGCGAAUGUCCGUUUCAAUGUGGCCAAAUCUCUACAGAAAAUUGGACCAAUUCUAGAUACUGAACAAUACUGUUGGAUUUCAGUGCUUUGCAGGAGGAAGUUAAACCGGUGCUGCAGAAGUUAGGCCAAGAUGAAGAUAUGGAUGUCAAAUACUUCGCACAGGAAGCUAUAAGUGUGCUGGCGUUGGCAUGAUGAGGAACAGGAGGGAAAGGACUUUACUAACUUCUUAACACAGAUUUCUAGUCAAUGUGUUAACUGGUGGAGAAAAAAAUGGAAAACCUUCAAGACCUCAUCCAAGCAAAUGGCAACGGCUUCCAAGAAAUCAAAUUUCAGUGACUUGAUUCUUUCUAAAGAUGAAAAGGGAUUGUUUGUAAAACAAUCUUUUGUCUUCCUUGUUGGGAUAAUUAUACACCAUUCUUUUUGUUUGUGACCAGUUCCUGACACUCGGUACACUCGUUUCUUGAUUGUCUCCAGGGAUUUAUUGGGCUCCUGCACCCUCGCCAUCCCAUCAGGCCCGGCCACUCAACCAUCUGACCAGGGCUGGCUGGGUUCGAACCCAGACAUGCAAUGGAGUGAUUCUCUUGGCGUCUACUUACAUCUGCAUGUUUGUCCAGCAUUCCACAGUUAAAUGUACAUGGUUUAGAAUAACAUGUUAUAAACCCUCUGUUUGGGAGACACAUCUAGAUUUAACUAGUGAAAGCCACAUUUUCCUGGAUAAUGAUGGUCCGCGUCAGUGUCUUACACGAAAGGGGAAUGUGGAAGCUCAGAGUUCGUGUGGUGUUUGUUUUGGUUUUUCCUUGCCUUAUUUUAACUGUAAUCAUGUCACUCAGAAACCUGAUGUGCAGAUAGAUGUGUUGCCACUAAUGUGUGAUGUUAAAACUUACCUGAAUUUCCACAGCUUAUACCACUGUGUUCAAAAUACUUCUCUCUCUCCUGCUGAGAAACUUAAAGUUUAGUGCCUCCAAAUAAGCAGUAGUUCUACCGUGUCGUCGUAGGGUUGCAGUUUUGAAAUGCUAAUGGGAAAAGGAAUGACUGGUAUAAUACUGGGAGGACUUCCUGCACUUAACCUCAUUCUGCUUCCAGCUAGAAUUAACAUCUGGUCCUUGCUAUGGCUUUCCAAAUUAAAUUUCAUUACUACUUUUUUGGUAUGGAUGAUGCUGGAAUAAUCAUUUGAAAAACUUUGUUUUUCUGCUUUUAAAGUAAAACCUCAUUAAUUUUUCCUAGAACUUAAGGUAACUAGUUAAGCUAAAGGAAGGGUUUCCUGGAGCAAAUUAAUAGUUUGUAAGGUAGUCUGUUGGAUCUGAACUAAAACUAUUUUGAAACUCUCUCUAAAAAAUACCCUUUUAGUAUACCGAUUACUUAUCACUUUUCAAUUACAUUAAAAUACUUUUCAUGAGGAUUUUUAUGAACCCCCACUUUUUUUGAAUACAUUUAAUUUACUCUUUAUCCCUGAAAUAUAUAUGUUUGUAUUUCAUGGAGAAUUUAAGUAUAUUCCAUAUAAAUUUAUUUACAUUGUCACCUAUUCAGACUCACCUUGUCCCUGAUGAAUGCUAAUGAGGUUUUAUUGUAGUUUAUUUUUCUCAGUGCAUCUUGCUAGGUAGUUUGCUUGUUCGAUUUUGGUUUUGGAAUUAUUUCUUUUAUUCACAACCUCUUCUAAACCCAGUGCAUCCUAUUUUGAGUUUUGAAAACCAAAUUUGAGCGAAUUACUUUCAAGUUUGUCUUAUCAUAGAAAAACAGAACAUUUUGAAUCAGAAAUUGCCUGCAUUUAAAAUUGUCAAAUUACCUUAUAGUAACUUUCUAUUUUAUUACUUUUUGGGCUAAGAAUUAAAUAUUUUUCCUAAGCAAAAAUCUUUUAUACAGUCUCAUUUUAUAUCUUAAACUAUUAUGUUGUGAACAUUUUAAUUUUAGUUUCAUGGUUCUUUUUGUUAUUAUUAACUGUAGGUUAUGUUUAUUCUUCACUGAAUUUCAUUUUUCAGAGGCUGUUGUCUUCAUUCUUGAAACAAAUUUGUAAAACUGUUGUUUUAUUCUCUGGUUGGGAAUACUGGUUGGUUGGAAAUGUCCCUGGUUUGGGAUAGACUUUUAAAUGCCCUGUGUGCCCCGGGGAGUUCUGUGCAGUGACCUCCCCUGGGCUACAGCACAGGGGAGCCCUUGGCCUUUUCAGACGGGGUCAGGGAGCUCAGAGGGCCCGGCCUUUCAGAUACCUUCUCAGGGGCUUCACUGUGUCUUUCUGACUUAAUCGGUAGGCAAUCCCUUUUGUUAUUGCUCAAAGUCGUCUUUUUUUUUUUUUUUUUUUUUUUUUUUUUUUUUUUGCUAACUUGGUCAUUUUCUCCACAGGUUAUCUUGCUUUCACUAUGAUGUAAGCUCCAGGAGCUCAGAAAGGGCAGGGAUUUUUGUCUGCUGUAUCGCCAGCACCCCGAUCAGUAUCUGGUCUACAUAGUAGGUACUCAAUAAAGAUGUGUUCAGUGAAUUUUUAAAA